AGGACUAACGCUGGCGGCGUGCCUAACACAUGCAAGUCGAACGAGGUAGCAAUACCUAGUGGCAGACGGGUGAGUAACACGUAGUCAACCUUCCCGAUAGUGGGGGAUAACUAGCCGAAAGGUUAGCUAAUACCGCAUACGAUCUUCGAGUGGCAUCAUUUGAAGAUGAAAGGAGCAAUCCGCUUUCGGACGGGACUGCGUCCCAUUAGCUAGAUGGUGGGGUAAUGGCCCACCAAGGCGACGACGGGUAGC
rnacentral:rRNA from 1 species